rnacentral:rRNA from 1 species
AUUGAACGCUGGCGGCAGGCCUAACACAUGCAAGUCGAGCGGUAACACAGAGAGCUUGCUCUCGGGUGACGAGCGGCGGACGGGUGAGUAAUGUCUGGGAAACUGCCUGAUGGAGGGGGGAUAACUACUGGAAACGGUAGCUAAUACCGCAUAAUGUCGCAAGACCAAAGAGGGGGACCUUAGGGCCUCUUGCCAUCGGAUGUGCCCAGAUGGGAUUAGCUAGUAGGUGGGG